UCUAAAUGAGCAAACAUGUGAGAGAGGUUGCAGGAGCGAUGUUGCGGAGAUUUAAUUAACAUUCGAUUUAUUAUGAUGUGGCGUACCAGCAUGUUCCUCCUUAAUAUGCAAUGUUGACCAAUGGAUAGUUGAGAUGGCUGCACAUGAUGAAAGAAACUUCCGAACUUAUUACUAUGAAAAGUUUGGAAUUGGAGGAGUGGAUGAAAAGAAGUCACUGGAGAUUCUUCUGAAAGAACAACCACUGAACAUCGGAAAGCUGAGGCAGUUCUGUUUGAGAUUUCAAGUUCCAGCCAUGUACAGGAUUCAUUUGUGGAAAGUCAUUUUAGGUAUCACUCCAGCAAAUCCCAAAUCAACGGAAUUUGUGAUGAGUCAGCGUCGUCAGCAGUAUGAAAAUCUACACCAUGCUCUCAUGGUAAUGAGGAGAAUCAACAGUAACACUCCCCCGGGGGAAGUCUACACAAAGAUGUAUCUCCUACAAACUGGCAUGUUGUCAUUUGAGGAUCAUGAUUUGAAAAAUCCUGAGAACAAAGCUCUUGUUUCCAUGGGAACAUCAGUGAGCGGUAUCGUGGAGGACGACGUGGAUGGGUACUGGAUCACCACAAAGUUUUACACACUGUUCAGCAAGUGUAAAGAGUCACUUCAAAAGUUGCCAGAGAAGACAAUUCAGUACCUGAAAAAGGAAGAUACAGACCAGCGACUUGUCAACCACCUCAAUAAACAUGAUGUCUGGGGUUGUCUACCCCUGGUCGACUGGUACAGGCGAUGCUUCUCCAAUGUUCUUCCUGAUACCUCAUUUGAAAGAGUCUGGGAUAAAGUUAUCGGAGGAUCCUGUAGUAUACUUAUCUAUGUGGCAGUAUCUAUAUUCUUGACCUUCAAACGCCCCUUGUUGAGCAUGAACAGUCGAGAUGACAUGGUGAAUUAUCUUCUUAAGAUCCCAGGGGAUAGUGGUGAUGUCCUUGUGAUACAAGCUAUAGAGCUUUGGCAGAAACAUGGUGGACAUAUGAUACAGACAAAGUCAGACUCGCCCGUCUUCGUGGACCGGUCACCUUCCUGACACAGCUUAAAUGAUCUCUUGUAUUGAUUUGAGAAUUUUAAGAACUAAUCAUCGCUUUACUUAUGCAUGGUCAGAGUAAAUUCUAAGGAAUGUGUACACUGAGUUUGACAAUUAACAAACCCGGAUUGCGGUCUUUCCCAAAGGAAUUGAGCAUCAUCAUCUAUAGAACACAAGGAUAAUUUUGGCUACCUAACUGGAUUCACAUAGACUGUGACAUCCUGCUGGUUGAAUAGUACUGAUAAAGCUGUCAUGAUCACUGUACAAAAUUUAGCAAAGUAAAAACAAUGUUUGCAUGAUUUUAAAGGAUGUUAAAGUUUUACAAUAGAGUUUUUUAUGCAAAUGAUUGUUUUAUGAAACAAUUAAAAGUUAAAGUUGGCAUCAAAGUUCAUUCCAGGGUGUAUCCCAAUUUUCAAAUGAAAAUGACAACUUUUCAAAGUAUAAGGAACUCACUGUAAUAAUGAUAUAUUUGGUAGAGGUGUGAGGAAAAGCUUUGAGUAAUGUCUGGUACUUGUAUCAGAUCACUGAACACUUUUCAUUUUACAAGACCUGGUCAUGUAUGUACUUUGUGAUGAAGAUUUGAAUAAAUUGUUGGAAAUCGU
rnacentral:misc_RNA from 1 species